UACGGAGGGUGCAAGCGUUAUCCGGAUUUACUGGGCUUAAAGGGUGUGUAGGCGGACUUUUAAGUCAGCGGUGAAAUCUCCGGGCUCAACCCGGAAACUGCCAUUGAUACUAUUGGUCUUGAAUGUUGUUGAGGUGGGCGGAACGGGUCAUGUAGCGGUGAAAUGCAUAGAUAUGACCAGGAACACCGAUUGCGUAGGCAGCCCACUAAGCAACGAUUGACGCUGAGGCACGAAAGCGUGGGGAGCAAACAGG
rnacentral:rRNA from 1 species